rnacentral:tRNA from 1 species
GCCCUGGUGGUCUAGCGGUAUGAUUCUUCCUUAGGGCUAUUGACUCAUUGAGCAAUCAAGACACUAUCAUGGAAGAGGCCCCAGGUUCGAAUCCUGGCCAGGGCC